CGGGGUGUAGCGUAGCCCGGUUAGCGCACUAGACUGGGGGUCUAGAGGUCGCGGGUUCAAAUCCCGCCACUCCGA
rnacentral:tRNA from 2 species